GCGGUCGUAGCUCACCGGGUAGAGCUCUUGCCUUCCAAGCAAGUGGACGGGGUUCGAGUCCCCGCGGCCGUUC
rnacentral:tRNA from 1 species